AAGGGUCAUGACGUACGAACGGUGUUAUGCACUAUCGGCUAUGUUGAGUUGAUACGUCAGACCCACUGUAAAUAGCUGUCGAUGUAAAUAUUGCGUACAUAAAGUCUUUUCUCUAAAUGCAAACGUCUACGGCGUCCCAUCCCUGAUGGAAGAGGAGAAACGACGACAGCUGAAGAAAAUUUUCUAUAUCAAGUAAGCUGGUUACGCCAGCUUGGAGCACUCUGUGCGACGAGAGUAGGAAGAGGUAGAAAAUUUACUUAAACGUAGCCUAUUUGGUUUUCAUUAAUUUUACACUUUGCUACAAUUAUAUAUUAGUUAUUGAGGUUAUUCAAGCAGACCAUGGAGUCAAAGUACCGCUGCUCAUUGUGGUGGCCUUGUGUGCUCAGGAUAGCACCCUGCCGUCUUCUGCACAAUCCCUGGAUGGGCGUGCUCCAAGCCCCCAGCUUACUCCAACAACUGCUGUGCAGCCCGUCACAGCUCCUGCUGACCAAGCCACUCCACGAGGGCGACGAUAUCCAUCACGCGUUUCUGUUGGAGAUCGACCCGGUACGAGUGGCUUGUCACGGACAAGCCAGCAACAGGAGCGGUGCACACCAUCGCGCAGGCCAGCUGCUGAAGAUUUCCUGCCAGAAAUUGCUGCUGGCUAUAAACAGUCUUUAGACUUGGCAGCUGAAAUCAAAUCUGAAGUGCAGCAGCUUAAAGACGUGGUGGGUGCCGUUGCGACAACCUUUCAGCGAGAGGCAGAGACGAUGCAGGGCCAAUCAGCUGCCCUGCAUCGCCUGGCUGCUGCUACAGAGGCACUGGCUGACUCGCAAGCACGCCAGGCCACUGCACUGGAGCGGAUGGCAGCUGUUCAAGAGAACACACUGGCCAACGAAUCUGCGUACCAG
rnacentral:misc_RNA from 1 species